rnacentral:rRNA from 1 species
UGAAUACGAGACGCUAAGGCGUCGAAGUAGUGUAUGUCAUACUUCCAAGAAAAGCUUGCACUGUCAUAGAUAAAAAACGCCUGUACCAUAACCGACACAGGUGGGUAGGUAGAGUAUACUAAGGGGCGCGAGAUAACUCUCUCUAAGGAACUCGGCAAAAUAACUCCGUAACUUCGGGAGAAGGAGUGCCUUAUUCGUAAGGUUGCAAUAACAAGAUCCAAGCAACUGUUUAUCAAAAACACAGGUCUCCGCUAAGUCGUAAGACGAUGUAUGGGGGCUGACGCCUGCCCAGUGCCAGAAGGUUAAAGAAGUUGGUUAGCAAUUGCGAAGCUGAUAACUGAAGCCCUGGUGAACGGCGGCCGUAACUAUAACGGUCCUAAGGUAGCGAAAUUCCUUGUCGGGUAAGUUCCGACCCGCACGAAAGGCGUAAUGAUUUGGAUACUGUCUCGGAGAGGGGCUCGGUGAAAUAGACUUGUCUGUGAAGAUGCGGACCACCUGCACCAGGACAGAAAGACCCUAUGAAGCUUUACUGUAACUUGAAAUUGAAAUUGGACUUUAUUCGCGCAGCAUAGGUGGGAGGCGUUGAUUAUAAUCUUGCGGGAUUAUUGGAGCCAUCAGUGAGAUACCACUCUUGUAAUGUUAGAUUUCUAACUUUGAAUCAUUAUCUGGUCAAAGAACAGUUUCAGGCGGGCAGUUUGACUGGGGCGGUCGCCUCCUAAACGGUAACGGAGGCGUACAAAGGUUUCCUCUGAACGGUUAGAAAUCGUAUCUAGAGUGUAAAGGCAUAAGGAAGCUUGACUGUGAGACCUACAAGUCGAGCAGGGACGAAAGUCGGUCUUAGUGAUCUGACGGUACUGAGUGGAAAGGCCGUCACUCAACGGAUAAAAGUUACUCUAGGAUAACAGGCUGAUCUCCCCCAAGAGUUCACAUCGACGGGGAGGUUUGGCACCUCGAUGUCGGCUCAUCGCAUCCUGGGGCGGUAGUACGUCCCAAGGGUUGGGCUGUUCGCCCAUGAAAGCGGUACGCGAGCUGGGUUCAGAACGUCGUGAGACAGUUCGGUCCAUAUCCGGUGUAGGCGUUAGAAUAUUGAGAGGAGCCUUCUUUAGUACGAGAGGACCGAGAAGGACAUACCUCUGGUGUACCAGUUAUCGUGCCAACGGUAAACGCUGGGUAGCUAUGUAUGGAGUGGAUAACCGCUGAAAGCAUCUAAGUGGGAAGCCCACCUCAAGAUAAG